CGGACUUGACAAACCCGAGCACUUGAGCUACGAAUUUAGAAGACUAAAAUAGAUCUAAAAACGAUAAAAAAGGAUAUUCGUGAUACCUCUAACUAGCUCUGAUGCCAGCUGAUACGAGACGCGGAAGCUACUUCGGAUCUAGAGGAACACGAUGAAGAUUUGACGGAGUUGAACCCGAACUUGGACCACUCAAGAACAGAUUUAACGGUAGAGGACGCCACAAUCAAGUAUGUGUGCUUGAUUGAUAAGUCAAGAACAGCCUAGGAUCAACUCUAGGAUGUUCAACUUAGCUUUCACAAGCUAAGGGAAUUU
rnacentral:lncRNA from 1 species